rnacentral:rRNA from 1 species
GAUGAACGCUGACAGAAUGCUUAACACAUGCAAGUCGAUGGGGAAGUGGUGCUUGCCCCAUGGCAACCAUGGCGGACGGGUGAGUAACGCGUAAGGGACUUACCUGCAGGACUGGGAUAACAGGGGGAAACUCCUGACAAGACCGGAUAAUGUCAUGGAGCUGCAUGGCUUUAUGAUGAAAGGAGACGCCUGCGGAGAGCCUUGCGUCCUAUUAGCUAGUUGGUGAGGUAAUGGCUCACCAAGGCGAAGAUAGGUAGCCGGCCUGAGAGGGUGGACGGCCACAAGGGGACUGAGAUACGGCCCUGACUCCUACGGGAGGCAGCAGUGGGGAAUAUUGGACAAUGGGGGCAACCCUGAUCCAGCAAUUCUGUGUGCACGAAGAAGGUUUUCGGAUUGUAAAGUGCUUUCAGCAGGGAAGAAGUAAGUGACGGUACCUGCAGAAGAAGCGACGGCUAAAUACGUG